UCAUCACUUGCAAAUUCACUUAACUCGAAUCGAAAUGGCGUCCUCGAAGACUAUUGUGCUCUUUGGCCUACUCUUCGCCAUUGUUCUCCUCAUCUCCUCUGAGGUCUCGGCACGGGAACUCGCCCAGGAUACUCAGUCUCAGGAGAGUGUGGAGGAGGCUAACUACGGUCACGGAUAUGGACCUGGCUACGGCCACGGUGGUGGUGGCAGCUAUGGCCACGGUGGAGGUGGUCGUGGUGGAGGUGGUGGAGGCGGUCGUGGCCACGGCGGUCAUGGUGGUCACCCUCCAGAAGAAACUGAAGAUGUCAAGAAUUAGAUGAUGCAUGGAUUCUUGUUGAUCCGCCCCCUAUGUUGCGCUACUUUAUGUUGGAAUGUAAUGUAUCCUGUAACUCCUAAAAGCUUAAAGCUCUCGUGUAUGGUUGAAUAAAUGGUGAAUCCACCUUUAUGAA